rnacentral:lncRNA from 1 species
GUUCUUGGAGUUCCUACCAGGAAUUCAUGUUGCUUGCUUGGGUUUGGGACCCUGGAGCACAAACAAGCACUAUGGUUUGUUGGUGUGUUUGUUUUCUCCUGGGUUUGGCCUCCAGCAGCAAUGCCAGGUGUGAGCUUCCCUCCUCAGGUGUGGUUUGGGAACAUUCAAAGCCCACAUGAGAAGCUGGCCUUGUCCAGCAGCCCCAUCAGGCUGCCCAAAGGCAAUUUGUGCAUGCUGGCUCGUGCUCCCUGUCCAUCCGGAGCAAGGUAAGGCUGCCCACAGCCUGCAGGUGUGCUGUCACACUGGUGGGAAUGGGGUCACUCAGGGUGUGAGGGGAUGAGAGCAGAGUUCCCUGGGGCAGAGCAGGGAGCAGCAUCCCCAGUGAGAGUGCUGAGCCCAGGGCUGUUAUGGAGUGGGCAUGCAGGGCAUGUAAGAGGUCAUCUCAAUGGGUUGCUGCCAUGCACUGGCUGGGCUGGUGCCCCUCCAGUAAGGUGUGCCUCAUUCCUGCUAUUGGGAGGACAAUCAGCAAACACACAUUGCUUUUCCCUCUGACUUUCAUGCAGAGUCAGUUUUCUAUAUGGAACAAGGAAUUGAUGGAAAAGCUUCGGCCCAUUACAGAAGGAUGUUCCAUGUGUGUCACAAUCAGUAGUUUUGGCACAGUGAUUCGGGCCCAUAGUAUGGGUGAAGUCACCGGCUGGGGAUUCAAAGUCCAAUUAGGCAGUGCUAAUAGAGGAGGCGGCGAUGCUUCAUUGAGAGAAAUUACCAAAAUUGUACUUUUAGGACAGUCAAUUAGCUGUGUUUUGACAAAGCAACAAAAAGAUGAAAGUGAAGCCCUCGAAAAAAGAAUGAGAGAAUUCAGAAGGAACAUGUCUGUUUGGGGAAUCCUAAUAUUUUUUGUUGAAAUCAUUAAGUGAAAUUAAAUACUAUUUUAAACCAAAGGGAUAGAAUAUCUAAUUAAGAUAGAAAAAAAAAGGUUUGGGGAAGGGUAUUGUUGAGGGGAUUAGAGGAAUGGUUUACAAUCCGCGUUGACUGAGUAGAGC